GACGAACGCUGGCGGCGUGCUUAACACAUGCAAGUCGAACGGAAAGGCCCUGCUUUUGUGGGGUGCUCGAGUGGCGAACGGGUGAGUAACACGUGAGUAACCUGCCCUUGACUUUGGGAUAACUUCAGGAAACUGGGGCUAAUACCGGAUAGGAGCUCCUGCUGCAUGGUGGGGGUUGGAAAGUUUCGGCGGUUGGGGAUGGACUCGCGUCUUAUCAGCUUGUUGGUGGGGUAGUGGCUUACCAAGGCUUUGACGGGUAGCCGGCCUGAGAGGGUGACCGGCCACAUUGGGACUGUGAUACGGCCCAGACUCCUACGGGAGGCAGCAGUGGGGAAUAUUGCACAAUGGGCGGAAGCCUGAUGCAGCAACGCCGCGUGCGGGAUGACGGCCUUCGGGUUGUAAACCGCUUUCGCCUGUGACGAAGCGUGAGUGACGGUAAUGGGUAAAGAAGCACCGGCUAACUACGUG
rnacentral:rRNA from 1 species